UACGUAGGGGGCAAGCGUUGUCCGGAAUCAUUGGGCGUAAAGAGCGUGUAGGCGGCUCGGUAAGUCCGCUGUGAAAGUCCAGGGCUCAACCCUGGAAUGCCGGUGGAAACUGUCGAGCUAGAAUCCGGAAGAGGCGAGUGGAAUUCCUGGUGUAGCGGUGAAAUGCGCAGAUAUCAGGAGGAACACCAAUGGCGAAGGCAGCUCGCUGGGACGGUACUGACGCUGAGACGCGAAAGCGUGGGGAGCGAACAGG
rnacentral:rRNA from 1 species